UACCCCGCUGAACUUAAGCAUAUCAAUAAGCGGAGGAAAAGAAACCAACAGGGAUUGCCCUAGUAACGGCGAGUGAAGCGGCAACAGCUCAAAUUUGAAAUCUGGCCUUAGGCCCGAGUUGUAAUUUGCAGAGGAUGCUUCGGGCGCGGCGCCUUCCAAGUCCCCUGGAACGGGGCGCCAGAGAGGGUGAGAGCCCCGUACUGUCGGACGCUAAGCCUGUGUGAAGCUCCUUCGACGAGUCGAGUAGUUUGGGAAUGCUGCUCAAAAUGGGAGGUAGACCCCUUCUAAAGCUAAAUACCGGCCAGAGACCGAUAGCGCACAAGUAGAGUGAUCGAAAGAUGAAAAGCACUUUGAAAAGAGGGUUAAAUAGCACGUGAAAUUGUUGAAAGGGAAGCGCUUGUGACCAGACUUGCGCCGGGGCGAUCAUCUGGCGUUCUCGCCAGUGCACUCGCCCCGGCUCAGGCCAGCGUCGGUUCGCGCGAGGGGAUAAAGGCAUUGGGCAUGUGGCUCCUCCGGGAGUGUUAUAGCCCAGUGCGUCAUGCUCUCGUGCGGACCGAGGUUCGCGCUCUGCAAGGACGCUGGCGUAAUGGUUACUAGCGACCCGUCUUGAAACACGGACCAAGGAGUCGAGGUUCUGCGCGAGUGUUUGGGUGUCAAACCCGCACGCGUAAUGAAAGUGAACGUAGGUGGGAGCUUUGGCGCACCACCGACCGAUCCUGAUGUUCUCGGAUGGAUUUGAGUAGGAGCGUAGGGCCUCGGACCCGAAAGGUGAGCACUCUUCUUCUCUAGCCCUGCCAGGGCUACUGUAGAGAGACAUAUUGCUAACAUAUAUCGCAGAUGGUGAACUAUGCUUGGAUAGGGUGAAGUCAGAGGAAACUCUGAUGGAGGCUCGCAGCGGUUCUGACGUGCACAAUCGAUCGUCAAAUCUGAGCAUGGGGGCGAAAGACUAAUCGAACC
rnacentral:rRNA from 1 species